rnacentral:rRNA from 1 species
UACGAAGGGGGCUAGCGUUGCUCGGAAUUACUGGGCGUAAAGCGCACGUAGGCGGCUUCUUAAGUCGGUGGUGAAAUCCUGGAGCUCAACUCCAGAACUGCCUUCGAUACUGGGAAGCUCGAGUCCGGGAGAGGUGAGCGGAACUGCGAGUGUAGAGGUGAAAUUCGUAGAUAUUCGCAAGAACACCAGUGGCGAAGGCGGCUCACUGGCCCGGUACUGACGCUGAGGUGCGAAAGCGUGGGGAGCAAACAGG